CUUCUGCUCCCUGUAUUUGUAUCCAUUCUAGCUUGCUUCAUCUCUCCCCCAUAUUUCUGACAUUUGGAUUUUCCCCUACUAAUUGACAUGCCUGUCCCCUCCUUCUCCUGGUGUCCAUUUCUGGAACUGCUAUUUGUGUAUUGCAUGAUAUUUUAUCAGGGAAAAAAAAAUAAAACUGAGAUCCAAUUUCAUGAAAAUGCUGUUGCCGUAUGCCCAGGAGGACAGGGGGAGGAGAGAAUCAAGUCUUCCUCCAUCUACCUCACGCGCAGAUGUGCUGACUGAUGGAGAUAUGAGUGGCUUGACAACCAGGAUUCCAGCAGAGACUAAACACAGCUAUGCUCUGCUCUCCUGCUUCAGUUCUGAUGUUGUCUCCCUUAGGGGACAUGCCGAACAAAAUCUUCCAACCUAGCAUGAGAACUCCCAUGAUUCAUCUCCUCGGCCGAGGAAGAGACUCUCUGAGAAGAAGUCCAGCAGCACCAACAUUAAAGAUCAACAGUAAACAAAUGGGACAUCAUGACACUUAAACAGGUUUUGUAGUUCAGCAAAGGACAUCAUUAUUUGAGUACAGAGGAAGCAUGUCGAAUGGGAGAGAUGCUUACCAACUAUACACCUGACUGCCAGAAGAUUCAUAUCUAGAAUAUACAAAAAGGAAUCUCAAAAACAACUAAGAAUGAAGGGAAAAAAUCCCAGUUAAAAUAUAAAGGAUGAAACUUAACAGUUCUCAAAAGAUAAAAUGAAUGAAAAUGCAAAUGAAUGAAAAAAUAAUUUACUAAAUGUUUGACCCCUUUAUCUAGUAGAGAAAUGCAAAUUAAAACUGCUUUGAAAUUCCAUAACCUAGUAAGAACAGUAAGUACCAAGACAACAAAUAACAGCAUAUGCUGGUAUGGAUAUGGAAAAGGGAGAAUACUUGUUGCUGGUGGAAGUGCAAACAGGUGCAAACUAUGGAAAGCAGUGUAGAGUUUCCUUACAAAGUUUAAAAUAGAUUUCCUGGCGGCGGGGACCUGGGUAGCCAACGGCUUGUGGAGCAACAUGCUUAAGUUUUAUUGUGACUACCGUGAUACAUAUCUUACCCACCAUUCUCCUCUGUGGGGAAGACACACUGCAGUGGUCGGAAACACAAAGAGAGUGUGAAAGACUGUUACCAGAAGUGGAUGAAGAGCAGGCCCAGGGCCUCAAUGACAAAACAACGCCUGCAUUUCAACAAGGAAAGAUCCCUCCAGCUCCGUUCUCUGCUCCUCUGCCUGCAGGGGCCAUGAUCCCACCUCUCCCCAGUCUCCCGGGUUCUCCUCAGCCUGGCAUGAUGCCUACAUCCCUUAUAGAAGGCCCUACCGUGAUGCUAAUGCUGGCCCCGCCUCCUCCUGGGAUGAUGCCUGUGGGACCAGCUCCUGGGAUGAGACCACCCAUGGGAGGCCACAUGCCCACGAUGCUCAGGCCUCCAAUGAUGAGACCUCCCAUCUGCCCUAUGAUGGUGCCCAUACGGCCUGGCAUGACCCAGCCAGACAUAAGAGCAGAAGCACUCUUUAUCAUUUUGUAUUCCUGUUCUGUUUCACCAGGAGAUCUUGGAGCUAAGCCUGAGUGUUUACUAGAUGCAUGACAAGGAAACUUCCCUUCCUGUCAGAGAGAAUACUUUUGGAGGGAGAAAUGAUACCAAAAAGUGGAGUUUUUACUUAUAUUGUGAAAUGUGAAAAUAAAUACACAAAGCACUCUAUGUCUUACUACAGGGACACUUGUUCAUCCAUGUUCAUUACUGCUCUACUCGGGAAAGAAAAGGUCAAGGCGACCAUCAACUGAUGACUGGGUAAUGAAAGUUGGGGUGCAUUUAAACAAUGAGAAAAUAGUCAACUGUUAAGAAAAAUGAAAUUGUAGGUAAAUGGA